UAGUCAUCCAGAGCAAUCAUUUUUUUGGUCAUUGCUUACUCCUGAUCAAAAUAGAAUUCACACACCAGUUGAAUCCUCCUUGUCUCUCUCAUUCAGUUCGAUUCAACAUCCACCGAUUGGAGUCCCACAAUCAGCUGGGUUCGCAAUAGCAUCAUUGCAGCCUAACCUUCUUGUUAGUCAAAACUAUUGGGUGUGGCCUCCCCCUUCCAUAAAGGUUAUCCCCUGACCGAGCGUGUU